rnacentral:lncRNA from 1 species
CUGCAGCUGCCGAGCGAGUGACGACCGCCUCAUCGGCGGCGAUCCGAUUGCCCGGCCCAGGCGCUUAGCUUUUCUGUUUUGCCUGUGCCACGCACACGCGCGCGAUUACACCGAGCUAAGGAGAGGAAUGUUUUUUUUUUGAGGUCCGGAAUGUUUGUUAUGGAACCCGUGUACAUCAACGUGGACCACUUUAUGGGCCGUGGGCUAUGCACGAGAUGGGCUGGCUUCUGGAAUCCAUGAAAUCAGAAAUGCCGUGACGGCUUCUCUUCUUCUCUCCGUGCUCUCCUUCCCCUUCCCCUUGGUUCUCUCUCCAGUCUCCACUGCUCCUCUUCGUUCUCUAGAUUCUACUGAUUCGGUGAUGUAUCGCUGGUCCUCUUCGAUCCCCUUGCUUUCCUACAUAUCAUAAGUUCACAACCUCUAUUUCCCU